CAGAAUAACUGUGUUUUGAUUUUCAAUGACUCUUCUCUCUUAAAGGGACAAAUCAACCCAAAACUAUUCCAGGAAAAUGCCCUCCAUAACAUAGCAUAACAGAACCACUGUUUUGUCAUUUCAUUUCUCACCCAUUUGUAUGUUCUGAGACUGUAUGGUGUGGGAGACUUCAGAGACUGCCAUUGAGGUGAUAAGGGCAGGAAGUCGAAAAAACAGUCUGGUAGCAGUAAUGAUGUCUGAAUUUUUAACCAGCUGAAUGGCAGUCCCCAAUUUAAAAGAUUGUGAGAUCCAGCCAACAUGUGGAACAUUUAGUAAGAUGAAGUGAAAACAGUGUUCCUCCAAACGCAUCAAAUGUUGAAAGUAAAAGAUGACGUACUUCCUAUUUUCUGUCCUUGGUGUACUCCUGAAUAUAGACACCCAUACUGCAUGAAUUGAUUUGAAGAGGCAAAUAAUUGUGCAGCUAGGCCCAGUUUACACUAGUGUGUUUUCGUUUUGAAAUGAAAAGGAUCCUCGUCCACACUGGCGUUUCCGCUGUAUUUCAGAAAUGAUCUCCAUCCACACAACACGACCGAAUACGCAUGUCACAUGACCGCUCAUGUACACUGGGCAUGCGUACACAAGUGUAAACAGGAAGUUGGUUGCUAGUGACCGCAGGCACAACAAACCGGCGGUCAGUGUAGGGCUUACACCGCUUGAAAUUAGAUUUAUUGCCGAUUGCUCUAAUCAUAGCUUGCCUCUUGCGCAUGUAGGCAGCUGCAGUAUUAUAAAAUACAUAAUUUAACUGCGCAAUGGCUGCUAAGAAUGACAACAAAGCCAGCAGUUCAGUCUCGGUGUUGUUGUGUGUAUGAUCAAGGUACGGUCAUCUGCUAGGGGCUUGACGAAACAGGGAAGGAUAUGCAAUGAUCCAGAAGAGCCAAUCAGGAAGCGAAUGUGGGCGAAGCCACGCCUUCGUUUUCAAAAGUCUUUGUUUUGGUCUGUUUACACUGAAAUGCGAUCCCGGAGUUUUCAAACUUAAAUGGGGUCUUCGGCGUUUCCAAAAGUCUCCGUUUUCAAGGGUCAAAAACGCUGGAGUAGUGUAGACCACAGGCGUAACCGUAGCAACAGUUACGCGUUUUAAAACGAAAACUAGCCCUAGUAUCCAGCAAGCAAACACCUAAGCAGGUGAUUGGCAAAUGUGCGCCAGUUAAAGCCGGGUGCACACUGUGAACUUUAAUAGUCCUUUGCGACUGUUGCUUGUCACACAGUAUGAGCAUGAUCCCCGCUGUAAGCCAUGUCUCGGUGUAGGUUCUCAGUUGUCAUUAAUGUCAGACUGUCAAGACGCAAAAAACGGACACAUGAUCCACACAAUAAGAACCUGAGCUCAGGACUGAACCAGAUGGCCUUUUAGAAUGCCUUUGACAAAAGAAGAAUGUAUUGAAAUCAUUCUCAUGGCUGGAUUGGGAAUCUUUCACAAGGUUGCAAUGGACUUUUAACAGGAAACAUGGCAAGCACAUCAGAGACGACACUGUUGCCAAACUUACUUUCAAAUCCCAAAUGUCUGUAAGUGUUGCAGACCAACCGAAAAGUGAAUGUCCACGAACAUGCACUUACGAAGGCACAACCGGCGUUGUGCUGGCAAACAUAGUUCCCUAUAUAUGGAGCCUUAUGUAACACCCUGUAGAAUUAACCUAUAAAAUAAUUUUAAAUAGACAUGAACAUAGAGAUUAUUCUGACAAUUGGAAUACACCAACAUAAAUAAUAUUACGAAAACUAAAUAUGAGAUCACUGGGUUGUCCGUAUCUAACAUGGUACUAGUAUUAGACAACAUUUUGAGGAAAACAAACUGAGAUUGAGUUUAUCGGUUUUGUGUGUGUGUGUGUGUGUGUGUGUGUAUGGUGAAUGGCCCUUCAUUCUCUAGGCAUGAGUGGCUCUAUUUGGAUAUUCUCUUCACAAAGCCUUCCUUUGAUGUGCUGCUGCUUCCUGCCUCUUAACAGGGCCGCUGUAUUAAAUUGAGUUUGCCUCCUGCUGAAUGAAUUAGGCUUUAAUAGUGUUAUUGAUCAGAGAGCCUACAGCUCACACAAUGCAGCCACCCAGCACCACACCAGCCACUAAGGAAAUCAACAUCUUAACGACACAUUAUAUGGACCUGGAUCUUUAUAAAGGCCGAUGGUCUUUUUAGAGAAGAAGAAAACAAAAUGCUUUGGAGGGCAUUUAGUAAAGAAUGUAAAUGUCACCAUGCCAAUAUACACACUUGUGAAGAAUUUUGGCUGCAAUGACAAAGAGGAACUAUUGCAACCUAAAACAUAUGGCUCUGCUCUUCACCCAUCAGGACUGCCACAAGAGAGAAGAAGGGAAGAGUGAAAUGGGGAAUCCACAAUCAGCAGAUCUGAUCACACAUGUGAUCAGUGGGCAUGUUGAUUGAACACAGUGUUAGAAGUGAAGUAAACUAAAGUCCUCUUUGAAUAAGGAAGCGUGAAGUGCACCCUGAUCCCCAAAUCCCUAUUGUCACAAUAACCAAAAAAAGUGGAGAAACUGUGUGAAUGUGUGCACCGCAGCGUGGGUUAAGGCACAGUGUUAAGCCUGACUUUAAAGGGAUUUUGUUAGAUUUGGGAGCUUUUGUCUAGGCAGCUUUUGAACUUUUUUGAUUCAGUACUUUCAGGUUAGUAUUUUUAAUGACAGUUUUUAGCCUAUUUCAUGUAUGAAGCAAAGGGGGUGUGAUUAUAAAUAUAUAUAUUUUAAUUCUGUUUAUAUUUUUAUUUCAUAUGACUCAACACCUCGGGAGUUCACCAUCGUCCUGCUUUUCAUUAAUGCUACAUAGCAACCAGGAAAUCUGCUGGAAAACCUUGAAGCAGAAUUUUGGACUCUACAGCAUGCUGUUUAGUUUGACAUUUAAAAUGAUGAGGUCAACUCUGUCCUUGACUCAGCUUUUACUUUAAAUGCAGAUUUUGGCCUGAUUUAUUGUAUUGGGGCCCUGACACAGAGUGUAUUUUUGUAAGUGGAUGAUUUUUCAACUUUUCAGAAUUAUUAUUAUUAUUUUUUUUUUAAGAAAACACCCUUCAUGUUGAUUCACUAACCUUACUGUGUCUUUCCAGUUUUAACGCCUCCUCUAUCUGCCUUGCUCUAUUCAACUGUAUUAGUCUGUUAGCUUUGACUGAGAAGGGGCCUCUGCUUACUGUACUGCUCUAUCUCUUGACCUGCUGCUCCUACAUUUCUCGAUUUUGCGUGUCAUCCUUGCGCAGGGGCCAUGCUAAUCUUCUCUGUAUCGUUCCAGUUUUAGUAUAUGCUGCCGUAACAAGCUGCUCCUACAGCCCUCGCAUCUCUCACAGUCAUCACACAAAGAGAGACAGAGAGAAGUGAGAGGAAUGCAGAGUUGAACCUCCGAGUUCCACACUUAGCCAUUCAGUGAGUAACGGUUACUGCUGAGUGCUGGCCUCUGUGUCUGGUGGGGGCAGGGAAGAGGGUGUGAGAGCUUGGACAUGGAGUUCAGUGAAGAGGGGGUGGGGUGGGGAAGGGGUCUGAAUGGUAACCCCAGGGCACAGGGGGAGAGCAAGGGGACAAUAGCAGUCCUGUUUGAGGCAAGAGUGGUCAGAAGGAGACUGCGGCUGUGGGGACAGGAAACCAGGGGAGCCUAUGGGAAUGCAGAUCACUUGGCUGAAUUAAACUGGCAGCCUGAGCUUUGAUGUGAGCGGAGGGGGACUCUCAUAUGGUCCAACUUUCACCAAAUCUACAACAGCAACCCCCACCCCCUUCCCUUGACUCCUGUGUGCUCACUUCCAACUGACAAAAUCCAUCCACAACUGACCCUGGUUUUUGUGAGGUGAAGAGAGGCAGACUAAUACUAACAAUGGGGUGCCCAGUUAAAAAAAUUAAGCUAUUUUUAAGCAGACUUAAAUUUUAAUGUCUCGAUUAAAGGACCCUUGCUGGGCUGCCAUUCAUUUGUGUGUAUGUGUGUGCACGCUACAGAGAGGCAGUGAUUAGGCUCUAGGCCAAGUGCUUCUCUGUCUUGUGUACAAAUGGGAAGGAGUAAUGGGAAGGACUGCGCUUAAAAUUCAACUUGCACACCAGUGUGUACCACCUAAAAACUCCACAUGCUUUUCAUCCUCUGUCUCCAUCUCUGCAGUCUCUAACAACACACUUUGAAAGAAGGAGUCCAUUGGUAAGGAGGAACAAGAGGGUUUAGAAAGUGCUGAGUGGAGGAAUUAAAAAGAGAGAUAAAAAGAAGUGAGCGUGCAAACUGGGGACUGGACAAAGUGAAGCACUAAUUAUAUUUCUUACUGUCUUUCUGAAAACGGCCUCCGUUCUCUCAGUGAGGGGGAUCCGUUCUUGUGAAUAGCAUUUCUUGGCUUUUCUUUCUUUGCGCCUUUCAUUCUUUCCUCUCUUUCUUACAUCCUUUCCCUCUUUGGUGUCUCAGUAAGGUGGUCUGUGCAGCUUCGGCCUUGUUUCCCUGAGCCUGGAUGCAUUGUGCGGACUAGAUUUUAAGUUGACAUAUAGAAAAUAACAUUUUUUGCAGCUUUGUCUUUAUAUUAUAGCAUAAAGAGCGAACAAAAAUGAAACUCCAUUUCACAGAUUACUUAAAGCAAUGGAAAAACAGUGUGGCUUAUUUGUUGUUACAUAAGUUUGUAGCACAGGCUAGGCUGCACUUAAAGGCUAAUGAAAUUGGGGAGUGUGAACAGUUCAGUUGUGAGAUGUAUCCUCUGGAUUGUUUACUCUGAUGAUGACUUCCAGAUACUUUUAUUUUGGCUUUGCAAUGGCCAGAGGUGACUGGCCUACCCCAUCCUCCCCUGCUUCUCUCUCCCUCUGAAACACUUGCUCUUCAAGUCAAGCUAUUUCAGGAUACUGCUCGGCCAAAUUAUAUUUGCCAAAUUAGAUAGUGAGGCAUGUUUGUGAUAUUUCGAAACACUACAUGUAGGACAGUGGUGUAGUGUGUGACUUUUUGUAAGGAAGCGAGGUCAGCCUGCUACAACUGUGAAAAAAAGUGAAAGAGAGACAGAACUACAUUUAUUAGUCUAUUUGAUUUGGUGUUAUAACUAGAGCACCAACACUGGAAUUAUACCAAAUUAAAGCCCUUAUUUAUGAAUGCUGAAUGUUCAUGAUUAUAAUAUAUAUAAAAAGAUAUCAAUUAGACUGUAGUGUUUCCUGUCAGUACAUCUCUCUCUAGAGCAUUACUUUGGUACUGUCAAUACAAAAAAAGUUAUAAUAACAGAGCCAGUAUAAUUAUCUCUAAUGACCACUGCACUACUAAAACAUGAAUGUGCAUACUGAAUCAAUGCAAAUGACAUACCAAAGUUACAUUAUGUAUCUGUGGGCAGUAGUAGCUCAGUACUGAUUAUAAGUUUGUGAGUUCAAAUUUCAGCAUUGCCAAAUUGCCACUGUUGGGUCCUUGAGCAAGACCCUGUCUAAAUAGUAAGUUGCUUUGGAUAAAAGCAUCAGCCAAAUAAGUUAAGGAAAGUUUUAUAGCCUCCUAAUUUAUUUUUAAAUGUGAGGAUGAUUUGCAUAGAUAUCCCAGAAUUCUUACAGUGAAUAGAGCAUUUCAUAUACUCUAGACCAUAUGAGACUGAACUAAAAUAAGUGUUUAUUAGUCUAAAACCUCACUGUGUUUCUGCUCUGAGUAAAUAUACUGAAUAUGGAGAAGUGGAUAAAAAACAUAAAGCCUCUGAAUAUGAAGUAAGUCACAUGGGGAAGUAACUAUUUUGAGAGAAAACAUAUCAUCACAAAGAAGCAGGAACGGUUCAGAACAACUGGAGAAUUAGAGGUAAAACAAAGGAAAAGGAGCCAUGGGAGUGAGUGAGUGGGGGAGAGAGAGAGAGAGAGAGAGAGAGAGAGAGAGAGAGAUGGGUUGGAAAGGGUUAAGUGUGUUUCUUGGAGAAGUCUAAAUGAGACGAGUCUUGUAAUCUCAGUGCAGGAAUGCAGUUAGUGCACACUGCUGAACACUCCCUAAACCCUGGCUCCAAUCCACUCUCUCAGCACACCACACAAAGGCCUCUUUGUUCUGCCUGCUCUUGAAAAGCAAUGCUCCGUCACUCCCUCUCCCUUUCUCUCUCUCUCUUUCUUUCCCUCUCUGUUGUGCUGCCUCUCUUUCCUUUCUUCCUGCCGUGCACUUCAGCUGCACUACUUACACUACAGUUCACCUCAUUUUUUAUCUUUGUGUACUUUGUCUUAUGUACUCACUAUCUCUCUGUCUGCCUCCCUUUCCCUUCGUUCUGUCUGUUUACUUUUAUAUAUUUGUCUUAUCCUCUUUUUCUCUCUCACUAGGCCUGACACCACAUUUAAUCUAUUAACUCAAGACUUUGCUAUUCUCUGGCUUUAGAUUAUUUCUUUUCUUAGUCCAUCUUUUGCUGCCCCUCAUUCUCAGAAUCUGGCCUUGUUUAUUUGCCAUAGCGUGAGUUCUUGCCAAUAAAUUAGUCUCAGCAUAUCCUCCAGAACUGAACCCAAAGCAGAAGAAUUUUCAACUUCUUUCCCCCUCACCAACAGCUAUUUUAGGUUAGCCACAUAUUUAAUAAAAUAAAAUGGAAAUGGGGUUAUGCUCUUUCUUUUCUCUAUCGCCAUUCUGCACUACUUUAUAUCCAUUAAAAGAGCAUUGAAAUUAUCCACUAAAAAGUGUACUUGUACAUACCCAUAUAUCAGACCUGUCCAUUGUGCCACCAACAGUAAUUUCUCAGUGUAAAUGUGCUUUGGUAACCUGAGACAUAGCCAUACCUCAUAGACCAAAGGCAUGAAAUCCUGUCAUAUCUUAUUGAAGCUGUCACAGACAGGCAGAAGGUGAGACACAAAACCAUGAUCUGUAAUGCUGCCAGCCUCUAGCAUUCCCACAAAUGACUGUUUCACACCUAGGUUUCACCUUGCAGCACAGCCAUAUGGUUACAGACCUGUGGAAGCUUGCCACAACCUAAGACUCAGAAACAGUGAUGAGUGCAAAUCACAGCAGGCCUCCAGGUAUACACCCGGCCUUUUCAUGCAAACCUUCAAUAGAGUUGUGACACUACUGUAUUAGUAAAACUACAAUGCCAUACCAUUAGCUAAUUUAUGUAAAGAGACAUUAUUCAUUAAAUGGAAAUACUAAACAUUCGCUCUGGAAGCCAUUGGUUUGAUCAUUGACGGGUUAGUAGUUGGAAAGACAUAUGAUACACAGAUAAGCAGGGAUAUUUCUGGUACAUAAACUCAGCACAGAUACCGUAUAGUGUUUUUUUUUUUAAUGAAUGUAAGUUUGCUGUGGCAUUCACUACAUGUCCCAGUUGAUCAGAGAGAGAGAGAGAGAGAGAAAGAAAGAAAAUCUAGAUUCCUAUGUUCUAUUCUAUUUCCAUGCACAUAUACUCACUGUGUCUGCAUGGGUUUUCUCUGGGUUCUCCAGUUUCCUCCCAUCUCUCAAAAACAUGCCAGCAGUUUUAAGGCCCAAGGUGUUAGAGUGUAUGAAUGUUUGUGUUCAUUGUGCUAUAGAAUGGACUGGUGUCCCAUCCAGGGUGUAUUCCUGCCUCACACUCCGUAUUUCCAAGAUCCACCACGACCCUGACCAGGAUAAAGAGCGUACUGUAGCUGAAUGAAUAAAUAUUUUCUACCAUGGUGCUCUGAAUAUCUCCUACAUCUGGAGUGUGGAUUCACAUCGCAGCUCCAUAUCUGAACCAGUUCCAACUGUAAUGUUUAAAACCUCACCACAGUACAAUAUCUGGAAAUCCCAUUUAAAAAAUCAAACCUUCCCACACUUUCUUCCCUCCUACAUCAGUAUAUAAAGAUUUGAAUAUUUUACUGGGAUUCUUUCAUGUAGGUGUUGAUGUGCAGUGGUGGUUAAACCACAGCACAUCAGGAAAUAUGUGGGCCGAUUUAUAAUCAUUAGAGUGUUAUGACCUAGUUUCUCUGGGGUUCAGCCUCAUUAGGCCUAUGCAGUAAUGUUAUGGAAGGCUGUCUUAAAGGAGGGGGGCGUACCUGAAGGUGGUGAUCUCUUACUUCUUGGUACAGGACUUGAUCUUGCAAACGCUGAUUUUGCAAUAUUCUUCUUUUUAUAUUACUGUUUAAACUAAGAUAAAAAGAUCAAAAAGGCCUAGGCUCAUGUGAUUCACAAAGUAACAGGAUUGUACUCUAAAAUAGGUCAGUGUAACCUUUUAGACCUCCUACAUAUUAAAGCACUGAGGUGUGCGGUCAACACACAUUAUGUAAUUACAGGCACAUGGUCUGUGCCAACCCUUAUAACAUGAGUUGCACUGGUAUUAAUGCAUAUUAUGCAUAUUAUGCAGUUAGGUAAAAACAUGUCUGUGCUUCUUCUUUGUGGCCUGUUGUUGAACAAGUGAAAGCAACAUGGGAGCAUAUGCAAUAAGUAAAUUAGUGACACCAAACAUUUCAGCCUGUCUGGAAAGGUAAAGUUGAAGUGCUCUUUUUGUUUUUCUCUCAGAAGGAUUGUCUUUGUGGAGAAGGUUUUUGUUAGAGGGAACCUAGGAGUAGGUGGAUAAGACCAUGUUAAUAUUAUUAGGGUAAGAUUUGUGACAACACAGGUUUUAGCAUGCAGAACCUCUUCAAAGCCUAAAUGUUUAUGGGAGUAAAGGAUAUGUAUGCUAAUUGCAAAGUGGUUAUGGAACUCUGAGUCAUUCCAUAUUAGGAAAAACAUUAAGGAUAGUUUAAACUUCUUUUUCCAAAUUAGUGCCUUUUGUACUCUAUCUGUGUUUCUGUACUGUGAAGAAUAAAAUACUAUCAUUUUAAUAUACUAAUGCAUAUAACUUUGUACAUAUCAUUGUAGUCUCAUCUUUGUGUGAGAUCUACUGUGUAUACAUGUGUGUGUGUGUGUGUGUG